GGCCACCUUCGGGGGGCUAAACCGGCGGAACCGGCACCCUAUCGGGGGCAAGGCCGCACAGCAAAACGGAAGACAGAAA
rnacentral:ncRNA from 1 species